rnacentral:rRNA from 1 species
CAUCCAUCAGCAACGGAUCUCUUGGCAUCCCAAUCGAUGAAGAACGUAGCGAAUUGCGAUAAGUAAUGUGAAUUGCAGAAUUCAGUGAAUCAUCGAAUCUUUGAACGCACCUUGCGCCCUCUGGUAUUCCGGAGGGCAUGCCCGGUUGAGUGUCAUG